rnacentral:tRNA from 1 species
GGGGGUAUAGCUCAGUGGUAGAGCACAUGCUUAGCAUGCACGAGGUCCUGGGUUCAAUCCCCAGUACCUCCA